UACAGAGGCCUCGAGCGUUAGGCGGAAUCACUGGGCUUAAAACGUGUGUAGGUGGAUGCCUAAGUACCUUGUGAAAUCCCAUGGCUUAACCAUGGAAUUGCUCGGUAUACUGGGUGUCUUGAGCCACUCAGGGGCUACCGGAACAAGCGGUGGAGCGGUGAAAUGCGUAGAUAUCAGGAGGAACACCGGUGGCGAAGGCGGGUCUCUGGGCCGUAACUGACGCUGAGGAGCGAAAGCAUGGGGAGCAAACAGG
rnacentral:rRNA from 1 species